rnacentral:lncRNA from 1 species
GGUUUGUAGGGGCUGAGGCGGGGUUGAGUGAGGUAGUGACUAGGGAAUGGAGGAGCCGGUGAUGUCACUAGGUGGUAGGAGGUGAGCGAGUAUUAGGUUACUGUCUAGGUGGGAACAGGGGCAUGCUGGGAAGAAGGGUUUGUUCUUUGGUGGGAGCAACCAUCUUGGCAUGAUGUCACACAGGGGAGGGGGCAAGUCACCAUAGGAAGAGGGCAGCUACUAUACUUAAUAGCUGCUCAGGUGGUGGGAGACCUAUCAUAGCCCCUCUAUAUAUAAUCAUCCCUUG